rnacentral:tRNA from 1 species
GCCCCGUUCGUCUAGCGGUCAGGAACUCGGACUUUCAAUCCGAGGGUGGUGGGUUCGACUCCCCCACGGGGCA